UUUCCUCUUUGGCUUUCUAUCAUAUCAGCAAAUUACAGUAAAAGGAAGAAAUUAAUAAGGUUGUGACUACUUAGGCACGUAGUUCUCAAUGGCCAGAAAUCGUGUAGCUAUGUUGGCUGUACUGGUGGGUUUUUUGUUUUUCCCCACUCCCUCCUCCUAUGAGACGGGUGCUCUAAGGAUAGGCUGGCGUUGGUAGAAGCAACUAGAGUUCCCGCUGCCAAAGGUCAGUACGUAUAAUCAUGAAGUAUAUGCUGUAUGCAUGCAUGUGUAGUACUAGGAAGUGAUGCACGUAGCUCGGGUGUCUGAUGAUAUGUAAAUAAUAAUUAAUGUUGUUGCAGUGGGGAGGAUGAGGAUAGCUCGGGCGGAGAAGUUUGGAUGGUUUGAGAGCUGGUUUGGGAGAGAGAGAGGCGCUAAGCGCAGCACUUCAGUGCCAGCUGCCCACGGCAACGACCCGCCUCGUCGCUGUUGCUCUUAAUUAAUCACACUGCAUGCUCUUGGAUCGUCAGAUCUUCGGCCUGAUUGUUGCCCAGUUGGCCUAACUUUCUGUCUAUUUGAAUAAAUAAUGAUGGUAAUAUUUUUUUUUAUCUUUUGAUUUCUACCAAUUAAUGUAAUAUUGUUUACCCUUUUCAUAUAUCUUUUGAUAAACUUGGGAUAAGUUUAUAUGCCGACUUAAUUUCAACUUGGUUAAGUAUUUUAUUUAUAUACGUAGGUUAAUCACAUAAUAUAUAUCUCCGAAUAUUUGAUUUACAACGAA
rnacentral:lncRNA from 1 species